rnacentral:tRNA from 1 species
UCCACAAUAGCUCAGCGGUAGAGCAAUCGGCUGUUAACCGGUUGGUCGUAGGUUCGAAUCCUACUUGUGGAGCCA